GUAAGUGUUUGUGUGAGUGUGCAUGCGUACUUGCUUCAUGAUCAGCUAGUGUGUCUGAAAGACACAGACAUACCGGUACACAGAGUCUUUGGCUAGAGGGUGUAGGUCUGCCUGUUCACAAUGCUGUUGCCACAAGCUUUCUCUCUCCUAACCAUCCUCACCCUCUCUACCCCAUUUACUGGUGUUAAGGAGACCGUUAGAGCAGCCAAAGGCAGUCCUUCCCACCUUCCUUGUCCCUCACCCUUUGGAUUUGAUGGGAAAGUUGUUUUUAAAUGGAAGAAAACGGGAAGUCCUGGCAUUAUUUGCGAAUACAAUGUGAAUAGAGAAAUCAGUUCAGUCGUAUCCUGUAAAUCUCAAUUCAAUGUAACCGGACAACCUCCUAAACUGUAUGUUACAGAGCCAAAGAGCACCGACUCUGGUCUAUAUACCUGCUUCAUAUCAAGAGUCAUACCACCACCAACCAUUGAGGAAUCCUCCGCUGUUGAUCUUCAAGUUACAGUGCUUCCAGGUCUAGUCCUAGAGAGGCAGAACAGCAGUGAUCCUGGCUGCAUUCAGCUUCUCUGUACUUUGGAGGGCCUUGACCCCCAGGACGUCAACUUCACUUGGACCCGACAAGGUCAGGGUUCACCGGAGACACUCUUGACCAAUCACAGCCCCUCUAAACAGAGCAGCUUUCUGACCCUGUGCCAAUCAGUGUGGAGAGAGGGUGACACGAUCACCUGCAAUGUCAGACUCCUAGCCAAUAACACCGACCUGAGCAUCAGACUUCCCUACAAGACCUACCAUGAGAACAACCUUUUGACUAUCAUCUGUGUCAGCACAACCAUCGGGGUUGUGGCCAUCGCAGCUGUCACCAUAAGUAUUUACAAAUGUGCGGACUCCCGGCCGGAAACCUGAACCUAUAGAGGAGGGUCCGGGUGGGCAUCUACCCUCGGUGGCGGCUUCGGUUCGGGACGUAGCCCCUGCUCCCUACGCUGAUCCCUACAGAGGCCUGGGAACCCCCGCUGGGGGCUCUGGACUGCAGAUCGUCGCUGAAGACCCCGGACUGCAGACCGUCGCUGGAGGCUCCGGACUGGGGACUGUCGCUGGAUGCUCCGGACUGGGGACCAUCGCUGCAGGCUCCUUGCCAUGGAUCAUCGCUACAGGCUCCGGGCCAUGGAUCAUCACUGGAGGCUUCGUGCCAUGGAUCAUCACUGGAGGCUCCGGGCCAUGGAUGAUCACUGGAGGCUUCGUGUCAUGGAUUAUCACUAGAGGCUCCGGGCCAUGGAUCAUCACUGGAGGCUUCGUGCCAUGGAUUAUCACUGGAGGCUUUGGGCCAUGGAUCAUCCCUGGAGGCUUCAUAUGUGGAGCCGGAACAGGUCUCACCGGACUGAGGAGAUGUACUGGCAGCCUAGUGAGUGGAGCUGCCACAACACGUCCUGGCUGGAUACCCACUCUAGCUCGGUGUGUGUGGAGAGCUGGCACCGGAUGCACUGGCUAUGACGGCGCACUGGAGGCAUAGUGCGUAGAGCCAGCGCAGGACACACAAGACCGUGGGGGCGCACCGGAGGUCUGGAGCACAGAGCUGGCACAACUCGUCCUGGCUGGAUACCCCCCAUAGCCCGGCAAGUGCGGGGAGCUGGAACAGGCCGCACUGGGUUGUGCUGGUGAACUGGGGAUACCGUGCGAAGAGCUGGCGCAGGAUAACCUGGGCCGAAGAGAUGCACCGGAGGCCAGGAGAUGGGGGCUGCCUCUCGUGCUUGCUUCGUUGAGCCAACUCCUCGUAACGUAGCCGUUCCGCUUUAGCUGCCUCCAUCUCCUCCUUCAGACGGCGAUACUCUCCAGCCUGCGCCCAGGGUCCUUUCCCGUCUAAGAUCUCCUCCCAGGUCCAUUCCUCCUGACCACGCUGCUUGGUCCUUUGGUGGUCGGCAGAGGACCAAUGAAGGUGAUUCCGUCUCAUAUAACAACAAGGUGUACGAAAACUUCAGUUUCAGCACACAAACCCAACAGAGACAGACGACCACUGCGUCCAUCCAGGAACAAUGCAUUUAUGAGAACUAGACAAUCUUAAUUUCACUCUGACAUCCUUGUUUCUCUUUUCAUCCGAGUUCAUAGAUGCGACAUUAUGACAUUGUCAGCAGUAAGAUUUUAGUUUGAUUUCCAAAAAGACAAGGCCUGUAGCUUGUCCAUUUCUAUUUUCUGAUUAUUAUUUUUUGGGGGUUCAGAGUUUAACAGGUUAAAAUAUAUCUGACAAUCACGCAAAACCUCUUUCCAAACAUUCACUCUAGGCAUACAUUGGGUGGUUGCCAUUGAUAUCAUUAAAUUGUAUAUAACGAUUUCCUCUUGCUGUCCUUUUUAAUGUGAUAUAAAACCUUACUGUGCAUGUGUGAAUCACUCUGGAUAAGAGUGGUUGGGCCAAUGACUACUGGUAAAUUAAUGUAAUGUCCUCAACACUUGCUUGGGACUUAUUUUCUAUGAGAUUUGCAUGUUCUGAAUAUCAAUCCUGUGGAAAUUCAUUGCUAAAUUAACAUGUAUGUAAAUGGUUUAAUGUACUGGUUAUCUGCGUUGAA